UCCCUGGUGGCUCAGAUGGUUAAAGAAUCUGCUUGCAAAGCAGAAAACCUGGGUUCAAUCCCUGGAUGGGAA
rnacentral:tRNA from 1 species